rnacentral:tRNA from 1 species
GAUUAGAUGGCUGAAUUAUAGGCGGUAGAUUGUAAAUCUAUUUAUAAGAUAUUAUCUUUCUAAUCA